UGAGUAACACGUAUCCAACCUGCCGUCUACUCUUGGACAGCCUUCUGAAAGGAAGAUUAAUACAAGAUGGCAUCAUGAGUUCACAUGUUCACAUGAUUAAAGGUAUUCCGGUAGACGAUGGGGAUGCGUUCCAUUAGAUAGUAGGCGGGGUAACGGCCCACCUAGUCUUCGAUGGAUAGGGGUUCUGAGAGGAAGAUCCCCCACAUUGGAACUGAGACACGGUCCAA
rnacentral:rRNA from 1 species